UACGUAGGGGGCAAGCGUUGUCCGGAUUUAUUGGGCGUAAAGAGCGUGUAGGCGGCUAUACAGGUCCGCUGUGAAAACUCGAGGCUCAACCUCGAGACGUCGGUGGAAACCGUAUGGCUAGAGUCCGGAAGAGGAGAGUGGAAUUCCUGGUGUAGCGGUGAAAUGCGCAGAUAUCAGGAAGAACACCCGUGGCGAAGGCGGCUCUCUGGGACGGUACCGACGCUGAGACGCGAAAGCGUGGGGAGCGAACAGG
rnacentral:rRNA from 1 species